rnacentral:lncRNA from 1 species
UAAGAGGAUGACAUGAAACUCAAAAGGCUGUGUUUACAGCUGCCUGCAGGUCUUCUCCUUGUAGACGGCAUACAAUAGUCUCUGAAAACAAACUGCUUAACCUGGGAAGCCCCAGAAGUUCUUUACCCAUUAUAAGGAAGUUGGCGUGAUGACAAUGUAUUUGGCCCUGGCAAUAGAUUACAGCUGGUCUAAACCAAUUCUCAGGAUAUCUUAAAACUAGGAGUAGCCUUAAGAUCCUGUUUUGCCAAGAAUACCUACUUGGAAGUCUAGUCAAAAGGUAUUUAUUAAGGUUUU